rnacentral:rRNA from 1 species
GAUGAACGCUGGCGGCGUGCCUAAUACAUGCAAGUCGAGCGAACGGGCGAGAAGCUUGCUUCUCUGAUGUUAGCGGCGGACGGGUGAGUAACACGUGGAUAACCUACCUAUAAGACUGGGAUAACUUCGGGAAACCGGAGCUAAUACCGGAUAAUAUUUUGAACCGCAUGGUUCAAAAGUGAAAGACGGUCUUGCUGUCACUUAUAGAUGGAUCCGCGCUGCAUUAGCUAGUUGGCAAGGUAACGGCUUACCAAGGCAACGAUGCAUAGCCGACCUGAGAGGGUGAUCGGCCACACUGGAACUGAGACACGGUCCAGACUCCUACGGGAGGCAGCAGUAGGGAAUCUUCCGCAAUGGGCGAAAGCCUGACGGAGCAACGCCGCGUGAGUGAUGAAGGUCUUCGGAUCGUAAAACUCUGUUAUUAGGGAAGAACAUAUGUGUAAGUAACUGUGCACAUCUUGACGGUACCUAAUCAGAAAGCCACGGCUAACUACGUG